rnacentral:lncRNA from 1 species
AAUUCCAACUGUAUAUGCUUCUCUGGUUUGCUUAAGUGACUCCUUAUGUCUGGGUCUCUGAAUCAUCCCUACAUGCUGGAGAUGUCCUGGAAAGGGGAUCUGGCUUGAGGACAUAAAAAUUGUUACAAAAACCAAGUUUUAUUGUCUCUCUUUUCCAUACCAGGUAACCCUGAAGUUAUCAUGAAGCCAGAGCUCCAUCAUUAUAUCUAUAGGGUAAUGGCAAAAGUGCUGGGGAGAGAAACACAGACAGUGGAGGGCUGAGUUUUUAGAUGCCUACUGAUAUGGUUUGGCUGUCUCCCCAUCCAAAUCUCAUCUUGAAUUGUAGUUCCCAUAAUCCCCAUGUGUCGUGGGAGGGACCAGAUGGAGAUAAUUGAAUCAAGGGAGCAGUUUCCCCCAUCCUGUUCUCCUGAUAGUGAGUUAGUUCUCAUGAGAUCUGAUGGCUUUAUAAGGGGCAUCCCCCUUUCACAGGGCACUCAUUCUUCUCUCUCCUGCUGCCAUGUGAAGAAGGAUGUGUUUGCUUCCCUUUUCGCCAUGAUUAUAAGUUUCCUGAGGCCUUCCUAGCUACUGGGAACUAUAAGAGUGAGCAUUUUUGGAAAUGUGAUCAACUGACGCAAAAUGGCAGCAACACUGGAAGGAAGAAUCAGGAGGAUAUCUUAGAAGAUAACCACAGAAUCUUUGCAAGAGACACAGAAGACUACCUUACACCUGGUUUCCACAGGAGAAAUGGCUCAAAAUAUGUUAUUAGUUGAACAGUAGGAAAAAUGUCUAUGGUCUCUUCAGCACCAUCUGUAUGUAGUCUCUGAGUCUCCAGUUUCUCAUCUAUGAAACUGGGAUAAUAAUAUGCAAUGAGAGUUAUUCUGAAGAUCAAAUAAGAUAGCAUGUGAAAGCAGUUCUAGAUUCCAGACAUAAGAGUAAGAUUAAAAGAAAUGUUGUUCUCAAUUUUCUUGUGUCAUUGCUGCUGCCAUCUAGACUUAAACAAAUGUUACUGUAAGAGCCAAGUAAUAAACUAA